GAUGAACGCUAGCGGCAGGCCUAACACAUGCAAGUCGAGGGGGAAGUUACUUUCGGGUGACUGAGACCGGCGUACGGGUGCGUAACGCGUAUACAAUCUGCCUUUCACUGGGGGAUAGCCCGAAGAAAUUUGGAUUAAUACCCCAUAGUAUAUAGGGACGGCAUCGUUUUUAUAUUAAAGCUUAGGUGGUGAAAGAUGAGUAUGCGUUCUAUUAGCUAGUUGGAGAGGUAACGGCUCCCCAAGGCGAUGAUAGAUAGGGGUUCUGGGAGGGAUGUCCCCCACACUGGUACUGAGAUACGGACCAGACUCCUACGGGAGGCAGCAGUGAGGAAUAUUGGACAAUGGUCGGAAGACUGAUCCAGCCAUGCCGCGUGCAGGAUGAAGGUCUUAUGGAUUGUAAACUGCUUUUGUAAGGGAAGAAUAAGGGCUACGCGUAGUUUGAUGACGGUACCUUACGGAUAAGCAUCGGCUAACUCCGUG
rnacentral:rRNA from 1 species